GAAGGUUGUAAUAGUAACUGUUUAUAUUGUGGUUUAUUGAUGGUUUAUUGUUUCAUUGUUUUCGUUGUUAAAUAAUUAGACUGGUCUAGUCAAUUUCGUAAGUAAGAAAUUAAGAUUCUUGUGUAAAAAUUUCUGCUGGAAGAUAUGGAAUUAUCGAAAUGUAGAAUAGAUGUUAAGUAGAAUAUGAUACUUAUAAUAUAUCAAACAAAUGAUGCUGCUUUGGGCGCCUCUGCCGAUGUGUGCUUAUUAUGGGUUUACGCAGGAACGAUUGUAUGGUGAAAAAUAAGGCUGUGACCAGUAUGGACAAGAUUAAAUUAGAUCAAAAGACUUGCUUUGAGAUGAUAUCCUUGGAUUCAAUUGACAAACUACUUGUAGCAACUAGACAUGUUUUUAUUUCCAAGAAUGCUUGUAAUGAGCUGGUCAAAAAAUUCAUAGGAUACAGGGUGCUAACAAUGGUUUAUAUUAAAACAUGAUAAAUGUACAUGGAGAAGGUAAAUCAAAGGGGAAAUGUGGAGAAGCGAGAUCUCCAAUCAUGAUUGUUUUGCGUGGUUAUGGAAAUGGGUCGUUUGUAGAAAGAGUAAGGGAUGCCAAUUAAACAUAUUAAAUGAAGGAGACAAAAAGUAAAAAGGAUUCAAAACCAGGAGAAUUGGAGCCCCUUUAAUGUUCGAGCCCCUUAGCUGUGAAUGGUGCGAUUUUUAGAAAAUACAUGCAGAGACAUCUCUUUAUCAACGCUUAGGAAUAAAUCUCGAGUACCGUAGAGUAAUCUUCCAGAAUAAAUCGAUGUUAUCGUGCAUCUAUGGGGUUCUCUUUUAACUAUCUAUAGUCCACUGUAUAAAUUGACAUCGUACAUCUACGGUUAUUUCUAUAGCCUUUAACAUUAAUCUAUGACAUGAAUAAAAUUGACAUCUCGUCGCCAUUUUAUAAUCAGCUGUUUUGCUUUCAUUUUUGUGCAUGUUUUUAAUUAUAUUACAUAUUUUACUUAAUUGAAACUUUCCUUCUUUAGUUGAUAGUAAAACUAAUACUUUUUUUUUGCCCAUCUCUACAGAUCAUCUGACAAAUGGGAGAGAAUUAAAGUUCAGUUUGUGAUGGUACUGAAAUAAUAUCUACAAUGGUGCUGCCUUUGCUGUUUUCGUCUUCACCUUGCAACGUUAAGCAGUUGAUUUUCAAGGGAUGAGUGAGAGCAACUGAAGAUUUAUGCGAAUUCUACUGAAAUAACAAAUUUUCUGCAUUGGCAUUCCUCUUGGAUUUGAUUUGCUUUUCACACCUGCAAACUUUGGAACAUU